ACCACAAUAGUUACACCAAGCCAGCCACAGCUUGCAAACGCCCCAAAAAAUCCUUUGACGGAAUCCUGGACCGGCUCUAAUAGACCUUCUCCAUAUCUUUCUACUAGGAGGCACGGAUUUUUCCACCCUCUUUCAAGUGGAAUAUGAACUGGAGGAACUGUCGAUCUUGAAUGGCACUGUACAUCAAACGCCCAUUGCAGGAUGCAACCAUAUAAUUCUUUUGACAUCCUCCUCCUUGAACUUUAACCCCCAUCCCGGAGAGCAGGACUCUGGCAGAUAUCCAACAGGAAAAAUCCAAUCUUCGCAUUUUGCUCGGAAUUGAGGAGAGAGAACCCUUUUCAUCCUUCUCCUCAUUCCUCUCUUCCCCCUCAACGCGAUCUCGUGGGUUUCAUAUCUUCUUCAAUGACAGGAUGCUGAAAUUACGUAUCCACCAGAGCAGGUCAUGCUGUGCAAAAUUGGUGUUUAUAUAUUAUACAUAAUAUAUUUUCUUUCCUUUUCCUUUUCUUUUUCUCUUUGCGAUGAGCUCCCAAAAGUCUGCUGGACAGGGUCAAAGCGUGAUGGGGCUUUUGGCUUCAUGUUUCUAUAUUUCCGGCGUUUGCUUUUGCCUGCGCUUCUCUGGCCCGUCCAUGACGGGUGGAACCUAUUGGGACAACGCUGCGAGCGAUC
rnacentral:sRNA from 2 species